rnacentral:rRNA from 1 species
UACGUAGGGUGCAAGCGUUAAUCGGAAUUACUGGGCGUAAAGCGUGCGUAGGCGGCUCGGAAAGUCAGAUGUGAAAUCCCAGGGCUUAACCUUGGAAUGGCAUUUUUAACUCCCGAGCUAGAGUAUGUCAGAGGGGGGUAGAAUUCCACGUGUAGCAGUGAAAUGCGUAGAUAUGCGGAGGAACACCGAUGGCGAAGGCAAUCCCCUGGGCCUGCACUGACGCUCAUGCACGAAAGCGUGGGGAGCAAACAGG